rnacentral:rRNA from 1 species
GAUGAACGCUAGCGGCAGGCUUAACACAUGCAAGUCGAACGGCAGCACAGGUAGCAAUACUGGGUGGCGAGUGGCGCACGGGUGCGUAACGCGUAUGCAACCUACCUCUAUCUGGGAGAUAGCCCGAAGAAAUUCGGAUUAAUACCCCAUAAUAUAUGUCUUUCGCAUGUUAGACAUAUUAAAGCUUUGGCGGAUAGAGAUGGGCAUGCGUGACAUUAGCUAGUUGGUAAGGUAACGGCUUACCAAGGCUACGAUGUCUAGGGGUCGUGAGAGGAUUAUCCCCACACUGUACUGAGACACGGACCAGACUCCUACGGGAGGCAGCAGUGAGGAAUAUUGGACAAUGGGCGAAAGCCUGAUCCAGCCAUGCCGCGUGCAGGAAGACGGCCCUAUGGGUUGUAAACUGCUUUUAUAUGGGAAUAAACCUCCGAACGUGUUCGGAGCUGAGGGUACCAUACGAAUAAGGAUCGGCUAACUCCGUG